rnacentral:tRNA from 1 species
GCCGCCUUAGCUCAGUUGGCUAGAGCAAUCGCUUCGUAAGCGAUAGGUCCCGAGUUCGAGUCUCGGAGGCGGCU